rnacentral:rRNA from 1 species
AUUGAGCGCUGGCGGAAUGCUUUACACAUGCAAGUCGAACGGCAGCACGGACUUCGGUCUGGUGGCGAGUGGCGAACGGGUGAGUAAUACAUCGGAACGUGCCCAGUCGUGGGGGAUAACGUAGCGAAAGCUACGCUAAUACCGCAUACGAUCUAAGGAUGAAAGCGGGGGAUCGCAAGACCUCGCGCGAUUGGAGCGGCCGAUGGCAGAUUAGGUAGUUGGUGGGGUAAAGGCUCACCAAGCCGACGAUCUGUAGCUGGUCUGAGAGGACGACCAGCCACACUGGGACUGAGACACGGCCCAGACUCCUACGGGAGGCAGCAGUGGGGAAUUUUGGACAAUGGGCGCAAGCCUGAUCCAGCCAUUCCGCGUGCAGGAUGAAGGCCCUCGGGUUGUAAACUGCUUUUGUACGGAACGAAAAGGCUCUGGUUAAUACCCGGGGCUCAUGACGGUACCGUAAGAAUAAGCACCAGCUAACUACGUGCCAGCCGCCGCGGUAA